CGCCGCCGCGCCGGGGCGGACCGAGGGGGUCCUUGAAAGGCUGAUGAAUUCAUCCGAGCAAAUGCCACCAACAAGCUGACAGUCAUAGCUGAGCAAAUCCAACAUUUGCAAGAACAAGCCAGGAAGGUACUGGAAGAUGCUCACAGAGAUGCCAACCUGCACCAUGUAGCUUGUAAUAUAGUGAAAAAACCUGGCAACAUUUACUAUCUCUAUAAACGGGAGAGUGGUCAGCAGUAUUUUUCCAUCAUUUCUCCAAAGGAAUGGGGGACAAGUUGUCCACAUGACUUCCUUGGUGCCUACAAACUACAGCAUGACUUGUCCUGGACUCCGUAUGAGGACAUUGAGAAGCAAGAUGCUAAAAUCAGCAUGAUGGACACGUUGCUAAGCCAGUCAGUGGCCCUGCCUCCGUGCACUGAACCCAACUUCCAGGGACUGACUCACUGAGAGUGGGCUUUGACAAACAGCUCUCACAGGACCUGGCUGUCAACCUCCUUGUUGCCCCCACUGUUGCCUUGAGAAUUGAAGACAUGUAGGUGACUCACAAACUUCUUGGAAAGAGACCCUGUGUGAAUGUAAAUGCUGUCAUUAUGACUUUUAAUUGGGAUGGGAAUAAUCAUUGAGACAGAGUCACUGUCUUUCGGGAUCCUCUUUGGACCACAGAUACCCAAGUCAGUCAGUUUCAGAGUAUUGGCCAGUGUACUUUCCUUCUUCCUCUCCAUCACUUCUUCCCUUAAGUUAAAGUGUUAGAGAAGACCUUCUUCCCAUAAAAAGGUUGGUGGAUCGUUUUCCAGAGAGAACUGUUUUCA
rnacentral:lncRNA from 1 species